GUGAGUAACACGUGGGUAACCUGCCCAUCAGAAGGGGAUAACACUUGGAAACAGGUGCUAAUACCGUAUAACAAUCGAAACCGCAUGGUUUUGAUUUGAAAGGCGCUUUCGGGUGUCGCUGAUGGAUGGACCCGCGGUGCAUUCAGCUAGUGUGGUGAGGUAACGGGCUCACCAAGGCCACCGAUGCAUAGCCGACCUGAGAGUGGUGAUCGGCCACAUUGGGACUGAGACACGAGCCCAAACUCCUACGGGAGGCAGCAGUAGGGAAUCUUCGGCAAUGGAACGAAAGUCUGACCCGAGCAACGCCCGCCGUGAGUGAAGAAGGAUUUUCGGAUCGUAAAACUCUGUUGUUAGAAGAAGAACAAGGAUGAGAGUAACUGUUCAUCCCUUGACCGGUAUCUAACCAGAAAGCCACGGCUAACUACGUGCCAGCAGCCGCGGUAAUACGUAGGUGGCAAGCGUUGUCCGGAUUUAUUGGGCGUAAAGCGAGCGCAGGCGGUUUCUUAAGUCUGAUGUGAAAGCCCCCGGCUCAACCGGGGAGGGUCAUUGGAAACUGGGAGACUUGAGUGCAGAAGAGGAGAGUGGAAUUCCAUGUGUAGCGGUGAAAUGCGUAGAUAUAUGGAGGAACACCAGUGGCGAAGGCGGCUCUCUGGUCUGUAACUGACGCUGAGGCUCGAAAGCGUGGGGAGCAAACAGGAUUAGAUACCCUGGUAGUCCACGCCGUAAACGAUGAGUGCUAAGUGUUGGAGGGUUUCCGCCCUUCAGUGCUGCAGCUAACGCAUUAAGCACUCCGCCUGGGGAGUACGACCGCAAGGUUGAAACUCAAAGGAAUUGACGGGGGCCCGCACAAGCGGUGGAGCAUGUGGGUUUAAUUCGAAGCAACGCGAAGAACCUUACCAGGUCUUGACAUCCUUUGACCACUCUAGAGAUAGAGCUUCCCCUUCGGGGGCAAAGUGACAGGUGGUGCAUGGUUGUCGUCAGCUCGUGUCGUGAGAUGUUGGGUUAAGUYCCGCAACGAGCGCAACCCUUAUUGUUAGUUGCCAUCAUUCAGUUGGGCACUCUAGCAAGACUGCCGGUGACAAACCGGAAGGAAGGUGGGGAUGACGGUCAAAUCAUCAUGCCCCUUAUGACCUGGGCCUACACACGUGCUAACAAUGGGAAGUACCAACCGAGAUUGUGCGAAGUCGCGAGGCUAAGCUAAUCUCUUAAAGCUUCUCUCAGUUCGGAUUGCAGGCUGCAACUCGCCUGCAUGAAGCCGGAAUCGCUAGUAAUCGCGGAUCAGCACGCCGCGGUGAAUACGUUCCCGGGCCUUGUAC
rnacentral:rRNA from 1 species